GGUUGGUAUUCUGGAAACUUCUUGGCUAAAGGAAUCCUCCCUGAAGAAGUAGCUGGAAAGAAAGGUACAGGAAGGAUGAGAAGUUCUGCAAGGUCCUCACAAGAUUUCUUUUCAUCGCAGACACCAGGAUUUGAGAGCAGGGAAAGAAGAACCUCCAGGGGAAUAUUAUUGAGAAUUUUACACAAUGGAAAUCUAUCAGGAAUGGCCCGG